UGUUGCUAGGGGAGCAUUAGCUGAGACGAUUUAUCGGACCCUCAUAACUUGAUCCGGGUAACACCGGCGUAAGGAAGCAUAUU
rnacentral:ncRNA from 1 species